CCUGCACUCUGGGACAAGCCCUGGAAACGGGGUCUAAUACCGGAUACUGACCCGCUUGGGCAUCCAAGCGGUUCGAAAGCUCCGGCGGUGCAGGAUGAGCCCGCGGCCUAUCAGCUUGUUGGUGAGGUAAUGGCUCACCAAGGCGACGACGGGUAGCCGGCCUGAGAGGGCGACCGGCCACACUGGGACUGAGACACGGCCCAGACUCCUACGGGAGGCAGCAGUGGGGAAUAUUGCACAAUGGGCGAAAGCCUGAUGCAGCGACGCCGCGUGAGGGAUGACGGCCUUCGGGUUGUAAACCUCUUUCAGCAGGGAAGAAGCGAAAGUGACGGUACCUGCAGAAGAAGCGCCGGCUAACUACGUGCCAGCAGCCGCGGUAAUACGUAGGGCGCGAGCGUUGUCCGGAAUUAUUGGGCGUAAAGAGCUCGUAGGCGGCUUGUCACGUCGGUUGUGAAAGCCCGGGGCUUAACCCCGGGUCUGCAGUCGAUACGGGCAGGCUAGAGUUCGGUAGGGGAGAUCGGAAUUCCUGGUGUAGCGGUGAAAUGCGCAGAUAUCAGGAGGAACACCGGUGGCGAA
rnacentral:rRNA from 1 species